CCGGCGACCGGCGCACGGGUGAGUAACACGUAUGCAACCUGCCCUCCGCAGGGGGAUAACCCGGAGAAAUCCGGACUAAUACCGCGUGGUACACCAGUGGGGCAUCCCACUGGUGUUAAAAGGAAGUGAUUCCGGCGGAGGAUGGGCAUGCGGCGCAUUAGCUUGUUGGCGGGGUAACGGCCCACCAAGGCGACGAUGCGUAGGGGUUCUGAGAGGAAGGUCCCCCACACUGGUACUGAGACACGGACCAGACUCCUACGGGAGGCAGCAG
rnacentral:rRNA from 1 species